AGAGAGAGAGAGAGAGGGAGAGAUAAGAUAUGCCCUUUUUAUUGUAGUAAGAAAACAUCAACAGGUAGUGGUCAAAUAAGGACUAAUAAGGGAUCUGUAGAAGAACCAAGGGAUGUGCUAAUUGGUCUGUAAAUGUGGUUUCCUAUUACGAUUAUUAUGGUUCAAGGGCAGAUGAUGAUGAUGUAGUUUUCUGCUGUUAUCAAUU
rnacentral:misc_RNA from 1 species